UACGAAGGGGGGCUAGCGUUGCUCGGAAUCACUGGGCGUAAAGGGUGCGUAGGCGGGUCUUUUAAGUCAGGGGUGAAAUCCUGGAGCUCAACUCCAGAACUGCCUUUGAUACUGAAGAUCUUGAGUUCGGGAGAGGUGAGUGGAACUGCGAGUGUAGAGGUGAAAUUCGUAGAUAUUCGCAAGAACACCAGUGACGAAGGCGGCUCACUGGCCCGAUACUGACGCUGAUGCACGAAAGCGUGGGGAGCAAACAGG
rnacentral:rRNA from 1 species